rnacentral:rRNA from 1 species
AGCCCCAGAAAAAAUCUGAGGUGUAACCUGCCCAGUGGUUUUUAAUAAGUAGAAAUAAUAAUUCUUAAAAAAAACUAAAAGGACGCGGUAACCUUGACCGUGAUAAUGUAGCAUAAUCACUCGCCAUUUAAUUGAUGGAUAGUAUGAAUGGUUGAACGAAUAUUCCCCUGUCUUAGACAAAAUAAUAAAAAAUUGAAAUAAUAGUUAAGAUGCUAUUUUUUACUGUAAGACGAAAAGACCCUAUAGAGCUUAACUAUAACCUUUUUAUAUAAAAAGAAAAUAAAUUCUAUACUUAAAAAGGUUGGUAGUUUAGUUGGGGCGACUGUCUUCUAUAUUGAACGAAGACAAGCAAUGUUAAUAAAAAACUUAUUGUAUAACAAAAAUGUUUAACAAUUAUAAAAAUAGGCUAUAAUGACCCGUUAAUACUUAAUAAAAAGAAUAACGAUUAAUUAAUAAAAGCUACCUUAGGGAUAACAGGAUUAUUUCAUUUCAGAGUUCAUAUCGAAAAUGAAGUUUGUCACCUCUAUGUUGAAUUAAGAUAUCCUGAUAAUGCAGAAGUUAUCAAAGGUAGGUCUGUUCGACCUUUAAAAUCUUA